ensembl:lncRNA
CCUGAAACAACGCAGAGCAUGUAUUAUCAUUUCUAUUAUUAGCAGUCUGUACAGUUAUUUAUAAAUGGAUGCAGAUGAUCAAAGCUGAUUGGCUUCCCAGUGACACUGUCAGGGUCCCUGUGCCUACCCGGUCGGCUCAGUAUGGCUACAUAUGUUUUUAUUUUCUUUUUUGUUCCUGCUCUCUCCCUUCCCCUCUUUUCCUCCUCCCUCUGCCUGGGCGGAGCUCACCUGUGGGCUCCUGCCCUUGGCCCACGCACCUGGUCGCGAUCACGCACCUGUGGCUCAUCACGAGAGUGUUCCAGCUCCUUUAUAAGAUGGCAGCUCUGCGUUUCUCGUUGCUGGAUCGUUGCCGACCCUCAGUAUUCCCUGGACCAACCCCUGUGUUACCUGAGUGAUUGGAGUAUGAAGAGGCGCGUGAGGGGUGGACGGAAUGAGUGUGUGACUUUCGGCGUCUUUCCCAUUCGUGUGUGGACCCCCGGAGCCCGGCUUUCCCCUCACCUUUGUAAAUAGAUCACCUGGUGUAUUGUAAUAAAGACUCUUGUGCUUUCAAGACCUAGAGCCUGCACGUGAGUCCGUUCAGUCCCGUUGUGACAGACUCCUGUUUCACUGUGUUUAAGUGUAAGUGAACCAGCACCCCAGGCCAAACUCAGAAGACCAUUUUAUUGGUAUCAUACUAUAAUAUUAUGGUAAUGUAAGCACUCUGUUUAGCAAAGCAAUGUGUGAAGAUGAAAUAAAAUGGUUUAUCACACUAACUUGUUUUUAGCAGAUAUGUACUACUGAAUCAUUUGUGUAUUUCUCACAGAACAAGCCGGUACACUCAGACUGCUUAUGAACACCUGUUCUGAAGGCAAAACGAGGUCAAACCCUGAACAAGCAAGGAAACUGGCAGCAGGUGGAUGCUGCUGCUGCUGCUGCUGCCUCUGAUGAUGUCAAUGACGCGAUUUGGUAUUGGAAACUCCAGGUUCCUUUGCCACUUUUGCUAUAUCUUCUAUCAGGAACCUACAGGCGUGAUUACAAGUAAAGACAGAAAUCAGCCACCUGGUACAACCACUUCACUGUAUUAGAAAUCUCAGUCUAGAGCUACUUGGCGCCUUGACCUCAUCACCCUGCAUAUUCAUCACACUGGAUAAUUAGGACUGCAUUCUUGGAAAUAUGUGAUGUUUUGCAAGAACUACAGAUUUAUGGGUAUAGCAUCUGAACAUCGAUAUCAGCUUUAUUUAUGGUAAAAAUGUUGCAAAAUGUACACGCUUGUAGAAUAAAAUGUGAGAACGUGUUAAAAAAAACUUUGAAAUUGUAAUUGAAUAUUUUCCCUUGUAAAAAUGCUUCAGACGCUUGUGUUUAAGUUACUGUAAAAUAAGUAAAUAUCAGUAAAUAUGCCAUUUACUGAAGGUGGUGGAAAUGUUGUGGUUAUAUAAAUUGUUUUGGGUAAAUGUUAAAAAAAAAGAAUAGGGCAUGGAGAGUUUUAAAUUCAGUUAUUAUUAUAAUAAACAUUGACUUUUUCCCAGGGGGGAGAGGGAUACAUUACUAUAAGAAAAUAAAAUAAAUUGCAUUGGAUCAGCCAAAUUAUUAUUUUGUAUAUCAGUACUGGGCCAGUGCAUCCUUAUUAAGCUCCGGGUGUGGGAUUUAAGUGGUUGAUUUAGCCUUAAACAGGAAUUUCCUCUUGGAUACUUCAUCCAUAAAAUAAUCAUCCACAGUUUAUAUGCUGGUGUGUAACACGUCACAAUAAAAUGACAAUAUUUUGAUGAUGGUUUUAUCUGUACUGAGCUUCCUGUCUUGGCAAAGCACACAGAAACAGUGCAGGGAGCAAAGCUGCAGGUUUUAAUAACAGUGUUUUGAACAGUCGCCUCAGACUCUCGCAGCUGCUUAUGAAUUGGUCAUAAGGAUGCUUUCUGUUUGUUACUCUAGAUGAUCCCUAAGUUGGGACUGCUCCAGCUGCUAAGAUUUAAGGAGAAAUUAAAGUCAGAAGACACCAGGUGCAUGAGAACAGACGAGAAAAAUGAUUUGUUGGUGAACAAUUCGAUCCCUGGACAAAAAAAAAGAAAACUGCCCUUUUAACCUUCAACCAAAGUCCCUACAGAGCGUCUCCAAGGCAGAAAAAUGACUGCUUCAGCUGUGAACAUCUGCGUAUUUGAAUUUG